rnacentral:rRNA from 1 species
AUUGAACGCUGGCGGCAGGCCUAACACAUGCAAGUCGAACGAGUGGCGGACGGGUGAGUAAUGCCUGGGAAACUGCCUGAUGGAGGGGGAUAACUACUGGAAACGGUCGCUAAUACCGCAUACCAUCAGAUGUGCCCAGAUGGGAUUAGCUAGGUGGUGGGGUAAUGGCUCACCAAGGCGACGACCCCUCGCUGGUCGGGGAGGAUGACCGGCCAAACUGGAACUGAGAAACGGUCCAGACUCCUACGGGAGGCAGAAGUGGGGAAUAUUGCACAAUGGGCGCAAGCCUGAUGCAGCCAUGCCGGGUGGAUGAAGAAGGCCGUCGGGUUGUAAAGUACGUUCAGCGGGGAGGCGUUACCCGCAGAAGAAGCACCGGCUAACUCCGUGCCAGCCGCCGCGGUAAUUC